rnacentral:lncRNA from 1 species
ACCCUUGCUCAAUCCCCAUGGCCAUCCUUACCCCUGCGCGGGAUCAGGAGCUGGAGAAGGCCCAGGAAGCUGCCCCAGCGAUCGGGGCACCCCCUGGGUCCUCACGGACCCCCACUGGAGGGCUAAAGUGA